UGGGGAUUCGUCUAGUGGUAGGACAGCACACUCUGGAUGUGUAUGCCGAGGUUCGAAUCCUCGAUCCCCAGCCA
rnacentral:tRNA from 1 species